rnacentral:tRNA from 1 species
GCGCCGACUAUAGCCAGGUCAAGUAUGCGGGCCUCUCGAGCCCGAGACCCGGGUUCAAAUCCCGGCCGGAGCA